UCUGGUGUCCUGGGCGUAGAGGAACCACACCAAUCCAUCCCGAAUUUGGUGGUUAAACUCUACUGCGGUGAAAUACUGUAGGGAGGUCCUGCGGCAAAAUAGCUCGAUGCCAGAA
rnacentral:rRNA from 1 species